rnacentral:sRNA from 1 species
GCUACCUUCUUAACAUUCUAUAUGUGUACUUCACACUACUUUUAUAAUUAUACCUACAACCAUCUCUUACAAUUCUAAUCACUCUAAACUUUAUUUGAGUGGUCUGUUGUUACACACACCUACAAUAAAGCAUGCAAUGUUAGUUAAAACACACAACAUUAGUUAAAACAUGCAAGAUGAUUUUGACACACACAAGAUCCCUUGAAAAUCAAUCUGAAUCUUCUACUGCCUUCAAUGAUCACAAUGUAUGUUUGCAACAGUUGAAUGAUCAAAUUCAUGAAUGAGAGCAGCAAUUAGCUAUUCUGCAUGCACAACAGCAGCUCAAUGAGUUGAAAGUGCAGAUUUGUGGAGAUACUCUCAUCAAGUCUCAAUUAACUCAGAAUAUUACCACAGAACUGCUGCAAAAUCAAUCUGUGAACAAUACAGAUGAUGAUAAUGAAACACCACUGAGAUUG